GCCAGUGUGGCAUAGUGGUUGAGUCUUGGUCUACAACUCUGGAGAUCAAAGUUCGAUUCCUAGCUCAGUCA